CUUGGCUAUGGGGAUAUGUACCCCAAGACCUGGUCAGGCAUGGUGGUGGGUGCCCUGUGUGCCCUGGCAGGGGUGUUGACCAUCGCCAUGCCCGUGCCAGUCAUUGUCAAUAAC
rfam:Acanthisitta chloris contig88779, whole genome shotgun sequence.